rnacentral:rRNA from 1 species
AGUGAACGCUGGCGGUAGGCCUAAUACAUGCAAGUCGAACGGCAGCACAGUAAGAGCUUGCUCUUACGGGUGGCGAGUGGCGGACGGGUGAGGAAUACAUCGGAAUCUACUUUUUCGUGGGGGAUAACGUAGGGAAACUUACGCUAAUACCGCAUACGACCUACGGGUGAAAGCAGGGGAUCUUCGGACCUUGCGCGAUUGAAUGAGCCGAUGUCGGAUUAGCUAGUUGGCGGGGUAAAGGCCCACCAAGGCGACGAUCCGUAGCUGGUCUGAGAGGAUGAUCAGCCACAAUGGAACUGAGACACGGUCCAGACUCCUACGGGAGGCAGCAGUGGGGAAUAUUGGACAAUGGGCGCAAGCCUGAUCCAGCCAUACCGCGUGGGUGAAGAAGGCCUUCGGGUUGUAAAGCCCUUUUGUUGGGAAAGAAAAGCAGCAGGUUAAUACCCCGCUGUUCUGACGGUACCCAAAGAAUAAGCACCGGCUAACUUCGUG